AUUCCUUCCAGAUCCCACUUUAGAAGAAGGCAGUGGGGUUGGUUUAAACGCACCCAGCGUGCUCCCGAAGAUAAUGUUUUUGUUUCCGUAGAUGCGGUGGCAGCUUUCUGGCGAUUUCUAGGCAAUGUACAGGAGGAAAGAAAGAAGGAAGGGGAGGGCACGGAGAAGCUCCGGAAGGCUGGAUGCUUGGGGAAGGAGGUCAGGAGGCAGGACCGGCCGGCCGCCCUCCAGACGUCCAGAUGUCCAGACGUCCAGCCAGCCAGAGACCGGUCUGCACCUGUCACAGAGAUGGGGUUUCACCAUGUUGGUCAGGCUGGCCUCGAACUCCUGAACUUGUGAUCCGCCCGCCUCAGUCUUCCAAAGUGCUGGGAUGACAGGUGUGAGCCACCGCACCCGGCCUCACUCAGCCCUUUAACAGGUUAGGUGAUUCAGGGACAAAACUUUCCUGAAACAACAAGGCUCAAAUUAUAUCAUAAUUACAGACAUCCGUCGGCAAGCCCGCGUUUUAUUUCAAGGCCGGGAGCUGAAAUGAUCGUGUUCAGUCACGCACACCAUCUAUGAUAAGACGGAGUCUCGCUCUGUCACCCAGGCCGGAGUGCAAUGGCGCGAUCUCAGCUCACUGCAACCUCCACCUCCCGGGUUCAAGCGAUUCUCCUGCCUCAGCCUCCCGAGCAGCUGGGACUACAGGUUCCCCCCACCACGCCUGGCUAAUGUUUGUAUUUUUAGUAGAGACGGGAUUUCACCCCGUUGGCCAGGAUGGUCUCGAACUCCUGACCUCGUGAUCCACCCACUUCAGCCUCCCAAAGUGCUGGGAUGACAGGCGUGAGCCACCGCGCCCAGCCCUAUUUUUUUCUUUUUUGAGACGGAGUCUCGCUCUGUCGCCCAGGCUGGAGUGCAGUGGCACGAUCUCGGCUCACUGCAAGCUCCGCCUCCCAGGUUCACGCCAUUCUCCUGCCUCAGCCUCCCGAGUAGCUGGGACUACAGACGCCCGCCAGCACGCCCGGCUAAUUUUUUUUUUUUUGUAUUUUUAGUAGAGAAGGGGUUUCACCGUGUUACCCAGGAUGGUAUUGAUCUCCCGACCUCGUGAUCCACCCGCCUCGGCCUCCCAAAGUGCUGGGAUGACAGGCGUGAGCCACCGCGCCCAGCCCUAUUUUUUUCUUUUUUGAGACAGUCUCGCUUUGUCGUACAGGCUGGAGUGCAGGGGUGCAAUCAGGGUUCACUGCAGCCUCGAACUCCCAGGCUCAAGCGAUCUUCCUGCCUCAGCCUCCCAAGUAGCUGGAACCACAGGUCCGCACCACCACGCCCCGCUAUUUUUUGUGUUUUUUGUAGGGACGGGGUUGCACCAUGUUGCUCAGGCUGGUCUCGAAUUCCUGUGCUCAAGCGAUCCGCCAUCCUGGGCCUCCCAAAGUGCUGGGGUUACAGGCAUGCGGCCCCACGCCGGCCCAGUCUUUCCCUCUCCCACUGCUUCCCAGGGCUUCGCCUGUCUGAUCCCUGCCUGGGCACUGGCGCAAGGUCGCCUGCGAGCGCCAGGCCUUCCUGCCCGGUGGGAGACCGGAGGGCCCGCUCUCCGGCUCGAUCUGGUUCCCGGGUCAGCCAGCAGCCGCGCCUCUUCCUCCCGGACCCGGGACCCGCCCCUUGGCCGGGGCCGCGGCCGCAGCGCCCCCGGAGGGGCCGCCCUGCGCAUGCUCGCGGGAGGUGGGUGACCCGGGCGCGCGCUGCCCGAGGCCGGGGGGCGGUGGGGACAGCACAGGCGGGGCGGCUGAGCCGAGACCUUCCCACCCCGCCCCACGCCUGGUUGGGGACCUGACGCACCGUCGUGAGUGCGGCGGGUGCAGGUGUCCCUGGGGGCCGGGGGCAGACACUGGUGCGGGACGACCUGCUCUCGAGGGGGUCCGCAGGCCACACCCACAGAAACUGGGGCGCCUCCAGUCACCGCCGCGGUCCGCCCCGCCCGAGGCUUUGACCCCCUGAAUCAGCGUCGGGGCAGGGAUCCGCGUGGGGUGGAAGAGGCUGGGAAACUGGGGAGUCCCGGGCCUCCUCUGGAGCCGCCCGCCCUUGGCUGGCUGGUCCUUCUCUUCCUCCGCUCCCGCCGGGCUGGGCCCUGGGCCGCCCUCACUCCCUGCCCUCUGCAGCCUCCCUUGCGUUUGUCAUUCACUCUGCCAGGCUCUCCUUCUGCCUCCGCAUGCCCAACGAUCCGGAGAAAAACACGGACCAUGACAUCAAAAGGCCUUGGCAAAGGAAACGUGAUUAUUGUGAUACAAGAUUCUGCACCUCAAAGGGGAUCCCUGUAGUGAGUUUUGGAAAACGUACAAAGCCUGGCUUACAGUAUGCCUGUUAUCUGUGGCGUUUCAUCUGGGGAACUUACUUUUCCUUGAUAGGGUAAACUAUUCUCAUCCAGAGUAUGUCCCUCAGUCUGUAAAAGUCCAUGGUGCCCUACAUCUAUUAGGGGAGUGAGGAAGGGCAGUGGGCAUUGGAUCUGCUUCUUUGAAAGCCCCCACCUGUGUUUAGCUUCUCUGUUAGAGGCCUUUGAACCAGAGCAACUCCAUUUUGAGUAGGCGCUUGGUACAAUGAGGCUGAGACCUACUGGGCUGUGUUCCCAGGCGGUUGAGGCAUUCUAAGUCACAGGAUGAGAUGAGAGGUCGGCACAAGCAGUAAAGAAGCCGCGGCCAAAACCCACCAAAACCAAGAUGGGGAUGCGAAUGACCUCUGGUCGUCCUCACUGCUACACUCCCACCAGCGCCAAGACAGCUUACAAAUGCCGUGGCAACGCCAGAAUGUUACCCUAUAUGGUCUAAAAAGGGGAGGCAUGAAUAAUCCACCCCUUCUUUAGCAUAUAAUCAAUAAAUAACCAUAAAAAUGA